rnacentral:snRNA from 1 species
AUCUCUUCUCGGCUUUCUGGCUAAGAUCAAGUGUAGUAUCUGUUCUUGUCAGUUUAAUAUCUGAUAUGUCCUCUAUCUGAGGACAAUAUAUUAAACGGAUUUUUGAACGUGAGAGAUGGGAUAGGAGCUUACUCCAUCCACUACACGUAUCCACCCAGUAUCGCAGUACCUUUGGGAAUCGUGCAGUUCCC